rnacentral:rRNA from 1 species
AGUGAACGCUGGCGGUAGGCCUAACACAUGCAAGUCGAACGGCAGCACAGUAAGAGCUUGCUCUUACGGGUGGCGAGUGGCGGACGAGUGAGGAAUACAUCGGAAUCUACUUUUUCGUGGGGGAUAACGUAGGGAAACUUACGCUAAUACCGCAUACGACCUACGGGUGAAAGCAGGGGAUCUUCGGACCUUGCGCGAUUGAAUGAGCCGAUGUCGGAUUAGCUAGUUGGCGGGGUAAAGGCCCACCAAGCCGACGAUCCGUAGCUGGUCUGAGAGGAUGAUCAGCCACACUGGAACUGAGACACGGUCCAGACUCCUACGGGAGGCAGCAGUGGGGAAUAUUGGACAAUGGGCGCAAGCCUGAUCCAGCCAUACCGCGUGGGCGAAGAAGGCCUUCGGGUUGUAAAGCCCUUUUGUUGGGAAAGAAAAGCAGCAGGUUAAUACCCCGCUGUUCUGACGGUACCCAAAGAAUAAGCACCGGCUAACUUCGUG